rnacentral:rRNA from 1 species
CGUGUAGGUGGUUCUGUAAGUAGGGCGUGAAAGCUCCCGGCUCAACUGGGAGAGGCCGUUCUAAACUGCAGAACUAGAGGAUGGUAGAGGGAGGUGGAAUUCCAGGUGUAGCGGUGGAAUGCGCAGAUAUCUGGAGGAACACCAGUGGCGAAAGCGGCCUCCUGGACCAUUCCUGACACUCAGACGCGAAAGCUAGGGUAGCAAACG